GGGAGUGUGGCUCAGGGGUAGAGCGCUUGCCUCGCAUGCAUGAGGCCCUGGGUUCGAUUCCUCAGCACCACCU
rnacentral:tRNA from 1 species